rnacentral:rRNA from 1 species
AUUAAGGUAAUACAAUUUCUCAGUUUAUAAGGAAUAUAUUAAAANUNUUUUCAAGAAAAUUUUAAUUNUUAUUUUGUAAUAAUCUAAAUCAAGUUAGAAUAAAUAAUAAAUUAAUUUUUUUUNAAGGAACUCGGCAAAAUAAAAUAUCGACUGUUUACCAAAAACAUAGCCCUUUAAAAUAUUAAAGGUGAAGCCUGCCCAAUGAUAUAAUAAUAAUUAUAAUCUAAUUUAAAUAAUAUUAAAUGGAUGCAGUAACUCUGACUGUAAUAAAGUAGCAUAAUUAAUUGUCAUUUAAUUGAUGGAGAGAAUGAAUGGUUACACGAAUUUUUCACUGUCUUAAGAAAAAUUUUUUAAAAUUGAAAUAAUAGUUAAGAUGCUAUUUAAAAUUGUAAGACGAAGAGACCCUAUAGAGCUUUACUAUAAACUUUUUUCCUAGAAAUAAUAAAAAAUUAUUGAGAUUAGAAAGUUUGAUAGUUUAGUUGGGGCGACUGUUUUUUAAAAAUAACAAAAAUAAGCAAUAUAAUAAAUUUAUUUAUUGUAUAAUUAAACAAUUUAACAAUUACUAUAGUAGGCUAUAAUGACCCGUUAUUAUAAUAAAUAAUAAAUAACGAUUAAUUAAUAAAAGCUACCUUAGGGAUAACAGGAUAAUUUUGUUUUAGAGUUCUUAUCAAAAACAAAGUUUGUCACCUCUAUGUUGAAUUAAGAUAUCCUAAUAAUGCAGUAGUUAUUAAAGGUAGGUCUGUUCGACCUUUAAAAUCUUACAUGAUUUGAGUUCAUUCCGUCGCAAGACAGGAAGGUUUCUAUCUACAAUUAUAAAAUUAUUUUAGACUUUUAGUACGAAAGGAAUAAAGUUUCAUUUAGUUAAUUAAAAAAGCUGAUAAAAAAAUUUUGAAAGAAUCUAAAAAUUUAAAAUAAUUAUUUAA